GGGUAAUGCAGUUUGGCUGUGAACAUAUGUCACCCCAUUGAUCACCAGGAUUGAUUUGGCUGAUCUAGGCGGGUAUCCACUUCCUCCCUCUCCCCUCCUGAAGCUCCGCACUUGAUGGAAGAGGACAACCAUCCCAGACAGAAGUAGUGUAUUAUUCUUUAGUCAAGGCUAUACAAUAGCUUAGUGUGAAUAUUAUCUGGAGAUAUUUUUGUGAAAUUUGCUGCCA
rnacentral:sRNA from 1 species